CUCCCCUGGAGGAGACGUGGGUCCCUGCACCCGCCUCGUCGGAUGUGUUUGAUCAGCUGUCGGUGGCCUGCGCCAGGGGAACCCGUGCAGAAGGGACGGUGUUUGAGCAGAGCGGCUGGGAGCCCUGGAGCCCUGGCCACGGCUGCUCCCCGCCUUCUGCAAUCUCUUCUUGGAGGACAAAGGAAGGAGGAGGUUUGAUAGACUAGCCCACAGGUGGCCUGGGGAACAGUGUUGCCCACAGAAGGAGACGUGGAGUGGGCUUCCCCGGAGUGCAGAGGGCGGAGGGCCCUGCUUGGUCCCUCCUGCCGUCCUCUGCACACCCAGCCCGCACUCCGUGCUCCAGGAGAAACCAAGACAGGGAGGUGCGGGCCCUCGAGCCGCCCAGAAUCCCAGCAGCAACGACACCGUCUUGGAAAUCGAUCCUGUACCACUACAGGUCUGGGCUUCAAAGGUGGAGCGGGUGGGGUGGGGACAUCCUAAGAUUGCAGGUUUAGGGACAGGUAGGAAAGCUGGGCAAGGGCAUCGCCCCAGUGGAGCUCAGGAAUCCAGGCCAAGGGCUGCAGACAGGAAGGCGGCGGUGGGGGAGUGCAGGACAGUGCAUCCCCAGCUGCGGAACCAGCUCCGCAGAACUCGGGGUGCGGCUCUUCUCCCUCUCAGGAUGCGUGUCCAGGUCACAGUCGGUCUCCAGCAGCAUUGACUGAGCUCCCGCUGGGCACACUAUCCGCAAGAGCCUGUGAGGAGGGCCACGUCUCCGUGGACUGGGCACCUCUGCUCUGCAAGCACCAAGUGACAGGGCAGACAGCACGGGCGCUCGAGGAAGCUGAAGAACAUUCCGGAGGAGAAGGGCUGGUUCCUACUGCCCACGUCUGAGAAGCCCCCUUCUAGAGACAACCGGAGUCCCGAGCGGGUGGCUUCCCAGGAAGAAUGCAGACACUCGCUGGGGGCCAGGUCUCCGCAGGGCCACAGCUGUUUCCUUCCCACCCCAACUGUGUCUGAGCGUCAGUCCCUGAGGGUCAGAGGGACAACAAGCACCAGGAGGUGAGGGGACCUCUGGGCCUGGCACUGGCACUUUUCCCAGCUGCCCCUGAUUUGUGUCCACCUGGGGCUCAGAGGUCUGGGCUUCGCCAGCUGUGCCAGGGGCUCCCCGAGCUCAUGCUCCGGCCCUGGGCAGCUGUUUCCUGUCACUGCCCACUCUGUCUGGGAUGGAGUCUGUGUCCAACCCAGGGCAGCCCAAAGUGCUCCCCCUUACUCUGGCCUUGGGCCCAGGGC
rnacentral:lncRNA from 1 species